rnacentral:lncRNA from 1 species
UUUCAGCCACGACUGCUGAGUAAACUCGUCCAAAGAGGUUCAGGUAAGCGUCGAUCAACGAAUUUCAGAUGGAUACAUGGAGAUUGAGCGGGACUUGUCAGCUUCAGAGUUUUCGCCUACAAAACAAGGCAAGGCAACGCUUCUCCCGAUACUUCACAGAAACAAGAGAUCCACAGUGACGAGCAAUAAUUGAAUGCCGGAACCGGGACUCCAUGUACGCCGGCUACAGUGAUCGGUGUCGAUGGAAAUGGCUUCGGGUAAAAGGCUCAACUCCCUCGGAUGGAUUGAAUGUAAAAGCAGAGGAUAACAGAGUUUCUGGGCCAUGGCAAGGGAAUGGUCGCGAGUGAUGACCGAAGACGUCCGACUGGGAAGGACGGAGUCCGAAAAUCUCCGGGAGUGCUCUCAAAAUUUGUUUUCAUCCCGCUCUAUGUUUUUACUUCUAGAGUAAUUUCUAUCUCACUUUCUUGCCUCACUCUCUUUCUCUGUGACAUUCCCCCCAAAACACGAUCCUCUGUUUCGUCUUGCUCAGAAAAAAAACCGACAUUCCCUCCUCCGCGUCGCGUCCUCUGUGCGAGCGGUUAUGGGGAGAGAGAGAGAGGUCUGAGAGACAAUGCCCAAUGAUGAAGAAGACGAUGAAUAUUAU